CGGGACGUAGCUCAGCUUGGUAGAGCGCUUCCUUGGGGUGGAAGAGGCCGCAAGUUCAAAUCUUGUCGUUCCGACCA
rnacentral:tRNA from 5 species